rnacentral:rRNA from 1 species
UACGGAUGAUCCGAGCGUUAUCCGGAUUUAUUGGGUUUAAAGGGAGCGUAGGUGGAUUGUUAAGUCAGUUGUGAAAUCCCGCGGCUCGACCGCGGAACUGCAUUUGAAACUGUCAGUCUUGAGUACCGGAGAGGUCAUCGGAAUUCCUUGUGUAGCGGUGAAAUGCGUAGAUAUAUGGAGGAACACCGGUGGCGAAAGCGGCUCUCUGGCCUGUAACUGACACUGAGGCUCGAAAGUGUGGGGAGCAAACAGG